rfam:Trichobilharzia regenti genome assembly, scaffold: TRE_scaffold0004647
AUCCAACUGGUGGACGAGUCGCAAACAGGACGAAAUGCGCAUCCUGGAU